rnacentral:rRNA from 1 species
CAGUCGUGAGGAAGGUAGUGUAGUUAAUAGCUGCAUUAUUUGACGUUAGCGACAGAAGAAGCACCGGCUAACUCCGUGCCAGCAGCCGCGGUAAUACGGAGGGUGCGAGCGUUAAUCGGAAUUACUGGGCGUAAAAGCGCAUGCAGGUGGUUUGUUAAGUCAGAUGUGAAAGCCCGGGGCUCAACCUCGGAAUAGCAUUUGAAACUGGCAGACUAGAGUACUGUAGAGGGGGUAGAAUUUCAGGUGUAGCGGUGAAAUGCGUAGAGAUCUGAAGGAAUACCGGUGGCGAAGGCGGCCCCCUGGACAGAUACUGACACUCAGAUGCGAAAGCGUGGGGAGCAAACAGGAUUAGAUACCCUGGUAG